AUGUGACUGUAGCAACACUGUCCCUGAAUAUGGCUUCUUCUUUUAAAAGGUGUUAAGGAAAAUUAGGAGCUCAGGUGGAGGUGUUAGCACUACUGGUUCUUUUUUUUUUUUUUUUUUUUUUUUUUUUUUUUUUUUUUUUUUUUUUUUUGCGCUGCUUUUUUUUUUUUUAAAAAAAAAAAAAAACCUU